rnacentral:lncRNA from 1 species
GAUAAAGGUCUGAAAAAUAUUCAACUUUGAUCGAAUUUACUGUUGCGAUAUUAAACUUUCGUGAUGAUCUAUUACCUCCUAGACUAUUUAAUACCGUAUCUUCUUCUUUAUUCCUAAUUCUCUCUACAAAAAUGUUGUUGCAUGUUGUUUGCCCCAAAUUGGCAUGUGCAUGUGGAUUGUAACACCAAGAUUCAGGCUAAUUGUGAUGAAUAUUUUAUUAUUAUUAUUAUUCAUAAUCACAGUCUGGUGUAUUUGUUAGUUUUUGAAUAUAAUUUCUUUCAAGAAUUUUUACAUACGUGUUAGUAAUUGUACUUGAUUUGCAUAUGUAUCACAUCUCUUUGAUGAAUUUGGUCUUUGUUUUCAACUAAUUACUGAAGAACUAAACCAUUUUAUGGAAGAUUUUCAGCUAUCAAAGAUCAAUGAAAUUUACAAGUGGAUUGUGCACCCAAGGUGUUUGAUGUUAUGCAUGAACCAUCAUGUUUUGACUAUUCCGUGAUUUUUGUUCUUUUUGGGUUGCAGUAGCCAAAAUCUCUAGGAGAGAAUGAGCAAAGACUCUUCUUGACUUUCGUUCACCAUGCUAGCAAUUAUCAUCUUCUACACGCUAAAGAUACAAGGUAUGAUUGUUAAUUACUUGUUACAUAUUCUCGUUGCUUCGUUUUAAUCAACGAUGAGAUCUUGAGUAUUGUUCACUAUUACUGUCAUUUUUCAAAUUUUGGUGUUUGAUAUGUUGUUCUACUUUUUCUUUGAAUUGAGUAAUAGUAAAACUGCGAGAAUUAUCUACUAUAGGCUGAUUUUCUGCAUUUAGAAAAAUCUUAGGAACCUGCUCACUUUGUCUACUAACAUUAUCAGUCCCAUUCUUAGUUUGAUUUUUGCCUAUUAUCAACAUGAUUGGUAACAAAGGCUUUUUCUUUACUUUUCCUUUAGUUUCAAGAUGAGAUAUUGCAGCCAUGUUUAAGCAAGUAAAUCAGUAGUAUUUCACUUCUAAAAGGUAUGUUUUGAACUCCCUCUUCAUAUAUAAGAUUAUAAUGGUGUUUUGACACCAUUUAGUAAAAUGCUCACGAAAUUGUGUCCAGAAAUAGAGAGUUCAAGUUUGUAUGUUUGUUUUUUCAUGCUAUUCAUUUCUUUUUCUUUCCAUUAUUUUCUUUGAAUUUAAAUUUUUAUAUCAUAUAAAAUAAUAUCCCCUUCAUAUUUUGAAAGUAAUACCAUUCACCUUUAUUAAGGUCCCUGUGACCAAAUUCCUUUGUGAUAGAAACUGUUAUCUAUUUAGUAAACAGUAAGGUGAAAAUGUAGCAUGUACCUAAGAGAGUAUCAAUGAAAUCAUAUUUAUCACAAUGUUAUUACCUUUUUGCUUGUCAUCAAUAUACGACAAUUGCUACAUCUAAACAUAAAAGUAGUUGUGCUCUUGAACAUAAUUAAGUGGAGUUAGUAAUUUGUUAUAGUUUAUGAAAUAUGAUGAGGAAGCAGUCUACAUUUGAUAUUUCAGAUUUAAAUAAUAGUUACUUGACUACAAUUAAGUUAAUUUAUUCAUUAGUGGUGAGUUUACAUCUUCUUUUCUAUGAUUAAUGAACAAUUCAAAUAGAAGAGGUAAAAAUGCUGAUUCUUGUGACUUUAGAUAGUUCACGCGUUAUUACUUUUUUGAAUUUAAUUAGUUUCCGAAGACCAAAUAUCAUUCUAUGAAAAUAUGAAGGCCAAAAUGUUAUUUUUAUAGAUUGUUUAUAAUAUAUCCAAAUAUGAUUUUCUUAUAGUAAUUUGAUUAGCAUGUCAUUCAAAAAUGCCAGAUAAUCCAGUUAUAGGUAUAAUGACUUUGACAUCAGCUUGGCCUUGGAUGAUAAAACUCCUCCAUUACAUGUAUGUGAACUCUCUUUCAUUUCGUCUUUGUGAUGGUUAGAUUCUUUCUUUUCCUUAUCAGUCUUGCCUUAAAUAAAUAUGUAUUGGUGUUUUGUAUAGAGAUGUUGGAAAUGAUACAUGGAGUUCUCUGUUUUUUUAUAUGUUAAUUAUUUGGUUAACACUGCUAUGUCUAAUUGUAGUACCAAAAGUAAUGUAAAUGAUACUUUAUACUUGAGAUCAUUUGUUUGGAUGUAUAUUUGAUGUAUCUUUCUUAAGCAGACAUGUGUAUUAUGAUUAUGUUCAUAGUCUUUGGUUGUUUUACUAUCCGGAUAUCUAUUCCUUCAUCUUCUUUGUUUCCCCACUUUUUUGCUCUCUUUUGGACUUCUCAAUAGUUUUUCGAGCUCUCUUAAUCUUCGCAACUGGUGUUCUAAUAUUCAGGUUUCCUCUCUCAUCCUUGCCAACUCCUUCUCUCUUUUUUCAAUCUUCUUUAGGGCUUUCUUUUCUUGUCUGAUUUGACCUGAUGAGGUUGGUAGAGUAAGGGAUGAGGGUGAAAAGGAUAUAACUCGGCUCUAUUAUUGAAAACAAUGGUGAAAUUUUACUAUGAGUUCAAAAAAUUACUUUACAAAUUUCCAAGAACUGUCAAGUGUAAAUUAUAACAAAAAUAGAGGUACAUAAUGUUUUUUAUCACUAUAAAAUUUCUUGUGCUUUUGGAUCUUUUCUUACUUGAUUCUACAUACACAUGUUCUUUUUUGAAUAUUUGGAGUCAAAAUUCUUGAUUUUCUCCAUAACGGCCUUCUUUGGGAGGUCAUGAGGAGAUCUGAGAGGGCUGUAGUGGGCCGGAAUUCAUGUUUUAGAGAUUUUUCCUCUCUUCCUAAUUUCUUUAACACUAUGGAUUAAUAUUUUCAAAGGUUAGUAAUAUAUUUCUGUUCAGUCAAUUUUUUUUUACCUAUUACCUUGUUUUCUAGACUAGAUUCGAGUGGACAAAAAAAAGUUAUUUUAGCUCUUCCUAAAAAUAAGAAGCAAUGUAUAUUAUUCUAAUUUUGAAGAGUAAACUGAAGACAAAAAAUAAUUGGGCUUGCAGUAAGGGCAAUGAUGCAUAUAACAUGAGGUGAUUGUUUCCUAAAAUUCUAUGUUCUCACUAGGAGAGAAUAUGAAACAGGUUUUUAUUAAUACUUUUGUUUUAAGUACUUUAUCUGUGUAUUAGUGUGGUGAACAUGUAAAUUACUAUGUUUGGAACUAUAGUUAGAAGCAUCUAUACUUUGAUGUUAACUGAAACAAGUUAUAUUUCGUUGUUUCCAGCUAAUUAUGAUUUCACUGCUAAAAUAUUUAAUAAUUUGACUGUUCCAAGCAUUUAUAGUAUAGACCUAUAGGAGGCAUCACGGACCUAUUGAAAGAAAUGUCAUAUUUCUAACAAUGUGAUACUGAAGCAGUAUUCAAGUAGAACAAGGAACUUCUUCUUCCAAACAAGUGACUCCUAUAUAAGCAACCAUCAGUGUUUUCAACUUUUCUCUCGACUUUUUACUAAGAGCUUCACGCUUCUACAAGAGUUUGAGACCACUUGUUAUGUCAUGUGGCAGAUUGGGGUGUAUUUAAGUUAAGUUAGUCAAGUAGAGGAGUGUUUUUAAGGCUAUCAAUAGUUUGAGCAUGAAACUAAUAAUUCACGCCAAGUUCAGGAUGUUAAUACUUCUCUCUUCUUUAUAUUGCAUUAUGAGAAUAGCAUUCCAAAUUUCACCGCAAUGACACAAGAUAAGGGAAAUUAAUACCAAUGACUUUCUUUGUAGGAGUUGAAUUCUUAGUGAUAAGUAGAUAACUAAGCAGCUUAAAACAAUGCUCCACUACGAAUUUGUACCUAGCUACUCAUAACAAUGCACAUAAUUUUAUGACAUUCAUAGAAUUAGGCUUUUAGUAUAAAUAUACUAACUCGCAAAAAAGCUAUUGUUAAGAAUAUGACGCGUAAAUGAUAUGUUUGUAACUUUUUCCAGGGAUCUUCAUAUGAGACAUCUAACUGCCACCUAAGUCACUUGAGUUGUGGGUAUACGAGGUUAGACCAUACUUAGAAAACAUUAUGCUUUUAGUGUUGAUUCAAAUGAAUCUAAAUAAGGAAUUUUUAUUCAAUCAUUAUUUAGAAAUAUUUUUUGCUGAAUUCUACCUACUUCACAUGUACAUGAAAUGAAUGUGUUGGUUACUAUGAAAUGAAUGAUGAACAAGACCUACACAAUUGUGUACUAUAUGUUGUUGUUGAUAUCAAAUGAUAAAAUUAACUGAUCUUUUAUGAGAAACCCAUCAAUGAUUCAACAUCUUUUUUAUGACUUCUAAAAGUUCAUACAUUUGAAUUGCAUAAGUUUGCUUCGAUAAGUUCAUAUAUCUGAUUUAUGUGGGUUGCUAUGCAAAUAAUUUACCUUGCUGCUUCAAUGAUCAAUCUCAGUGAAUAGUUGAAGAGGUUCCUACAAAAAUUAGAGAAAAUCCAAGAAGAAGGCCUUUGUGAAGUAUUCCAAUAAAUAUGAGACUGAUGAAGGUAAAAAAAACAUACAAGCAUUGAUUUUAUGCUUGUGUCAUUCACGUAUUGGCUUACUUAGGUACAAAAUCUGAAUGUCAUCCCUCAUAGAUUUUUUUUUGUGGGAGGGAGGGGGGGGGGGGCAUGACUUGUAUCCACUUUUGUUGUAUAUAUAGAAUGUAUUUCAAUUAAAUAAACUCAUGCUUUCUCCAGAAUUUUUGUUUAGACCAAAGUUCAAGUUCUGUGAUACUGGUAGAUGUCGUAAGAAUUAAUUUCUACUUGACAUUUGCACCUCUUAAAGUUAAAUAAGUUGAUACUUGCAUGUUAUCCUCUUUCGCUAGGCAAAACAUCUGCAUUCUUUCUAAUCCACAUAUACUGGCUAUUUAUGCAAUGAAUUUGUUGAUCUUAUAGGGCUUAACAACAUGAUCAAGACAACAAGAGAUCACUUACCAGACAUUUAGGUUUGGCGCUGAAUAUUUUGAUUGAGAAAUAGUGUUGAGUACUAUUGGUCUAUGUCAGAGUGGAGAUAAUGUACAUAGCCUCUAUUUAAACUUCCAUAUGAAUUAGUGUUUAUUUUAUUUAUAUUGAUGUAAGACUGGAAGAGGAUCAAUAUUAUCUAAAGGUACAUGGACUUCUCUUUCACAUGUACAUAAACAUGUCACUUUCCUAACCAAGUUAGUGCAAAGAAAUUUAGAUUAAAUUAUUUAAGUUCUAUUCUUACGAUAAAAAAAAUGAUAUUGAAAUCACACAUGUUUG